rnacentral:rRNA from 1 species
UACGGAGGAUGCGAGCGUUAUCCGGAUUUGUUGGGUUUAAAGGGUGCGUAGGCGGGUUAUCAAGUCAGCGGUAAAAUCGUGGAGCUCAACUCCAUCCAGCCGUUGAAACUGAUGAUCUUGAGUGGGCGAGAAGUAUGCGGAAUGCGUGGUGUAGCGGUGAAAUGCAUAGAUAUCACGCAGAACUCCGAUUGCGAAGGCAGCAUACCGGCGCCCAACUGACGCUGAAGCACGAAAGCGUGGGUAUCGAACAGG